AUUGAACGCUGGCGGCAGGCUUAACACAUGCAAGUCGAGCGGCGAUGAGGUGCUUGCACCUUAUCUUAGCGGCGGACGGGUGAGUAAUGCUUAGGAAUCUGCCUAUUAGUGGGGGACAACAUUCCGAAAGGAAUGCUAAUACCGCCUACGUCCUACGGGAGAAAGCAGGGGAUCUGCGGACCUUGCGCUAAUAGAUGAGCCUAAGUCGGAUUAGCUAGUUGGUGGGGUAAAGGCCUACCAAGGCGAUGAUCUGUAGCGGGUCUGAGAGGAUGAUCCGCCACACUGGGACUGAGACACGGCCCAGACUCCUACGGGAGGCAGCAGUGGGGAAUAUUGGACAAUGGGGGGAACCCUGAUCCAGCCAUGCCGCGUGUGUGAAGAAGGCCUUAUGGUUGUAAAGCACUUUAAGCGAGGAGGAGGCUACUGAGACUAAUACUCUUGGAUAGUGGACGUUACUCGCAGAAUACGCACCGGCUAACUCUGUGCCAGCCGCCGCAGUAAUAC
rnacentral:rRNA from 1 species